GUAGUACUCCCUCCAUUCUGAAUUACUUGUCGUAGAUAUGAAUGUAUCUAGAUGUAUUUUAGUUCUAGAUACAUCCAUUUCUAUGACGAGUAAUUUGGAACGGAGGCAGUCCUAG
rfam:Triticum urartu cultivar G1812 contig1067225, whole genome shotgun sequence.